rnacentral:rRNA from 1 species
AGGCUUAACACAUGCAAGUCGAGCGAGAACUGCCCUUCGGGGUGGGGACAGCGGCGGACGGGUGAGUAACGCGUGGGAAUUUACCCUGGAGUGGGGGGACAACAGCUGGAAACGGCUGCUAAUACCGCAUACGCCCUGAGGGGGAAAGGCUUCGGCCGCUCUAGGAUGAGCCCCGCGUCGGAUUAGCUAGUUGGUAGGGUAACGGCCUACCAAGGCGACGAUCCGUAGCUGGUCUGAGAGGAUGACCAGCCACACUGGGACUGAGACACGGCCCAGACUCC